CACACACACUGCACCCCUGACACUCAGAGCACCCUUACACACACUACACCUUUGACACUCACAGCACCAUCACUUACACUCACACACACUACACUCCUGACACUCACAGCACCCUCUCACACACACAAACACACACUGCAGACCUGACACUCACAGCACCCACACUUACACACACACACAAACUGCACCCCUGGCACAGCACUCUCACACACACACACACACACACACUGCACCCCUGACACUCACAGCACCCUCACACACUACACUUCUGACAAUUGCAGCACCCUCUCUCACACACACACCAUGCACUCCUGACACGCACAGAACCCUCACACCGCACCCCUGUCACCUCACCCUCACUCACACACUCCACCCCUAAUACUCACAGCACCCUCACUCUCACACACUCCACCCCUGAUACUCACAGCACCCUCACUCAAACACAGCACACACACGCUGCAACCCUCACACACAGCACCCUCACAC